GAUGAACGCUGGCGGCGUGCCUAAUACAUGCAAGUCGAGCGAACGGACGAGAAGCUUGCUUCUCUGAUGUUAGCGGCGGACGGGUGAGUAACACGUGGAUAACCUACCUAUAAGACUGGGAUAACUUCGGGAAACCGUAUCUAAUACCGGAUAAUAUUUUGAACCGCAUGGUUCAAAAGUGAAAGACGGUCUUGCUGUCACUUAUAGAUGGAUCCGCGCUGCAUUAGCUAGUUGGUAAGGUAACGGCUUACCAAGGCAACGAUGCAUAGCCGACCUGAGAGGGUGAUCGGCCACACUGGAACGGAGACACGGACCAGACUCCUACGGGAGGCAGCAGUAGGGAAUCUUCCGCAAUGGGCGAAAGCCUGACGGAGCAACGCCGCGUGAGUGAUGAAGGUCUUCGGAUCGUAAAACUCUGUUAUGAGGGAAGAACAGAUGUGUAAGUAACUGUGCACAUCUUGACGGUACCUAAUCAGAAAGCAACGGCUAACUACGUG
rnacentral:rRNA from 1 species